rnacentral:lncRNA from 1 species
GUAUUACGUCUAAGUUCAUUGUAGCAUUGAUUUUGUAAUUAUUUAAGUGACCUCGUUAUUUGUUGGACCGACACCAGGACAUGGGCAGUAGCAGUAGAAGUAGGAGUAGAUAUAACAGGGGCAGUAGCAGUAGGAGUAGAUAUAAUAGAGUUGCCUUUUUGAUUCGUGAAAAUCUGGAUGAGCCCCCAAAGUAAGUUAUUUCCCUUUCCACCUUGCGGAUCGUACAAAUUGAUCAUCUAGCAUAUUAACUUAUGAAACACCCACCGUCCUCAACAUUAAUAACGUGUUCCUUAUAAGUAACUAUAUUCGUUACAACCACCUAAGGAUCCCAAAUGCAUAGUGAUCCCCCAAUAUACGCCUUGCACUACUAGCCACAUAAUCAAACUGAAAUUUUCCCUAAAUAGUAAAUACUCGUUACUUUUACAAGAUCUGAAUGUACCAUACAUGUUUCUUGAAUCCCCACAAUUAUGCUUUCUACACAAUUUCAUGUGUUUAUUCCUCUUGCCAUUAAUCUCGAUCACACAAACAUUUAAAUAAAGAAUAUUUUUUUAUCUACCAUGUUCUCAUUCAAUGAUUUAAACCCUUUUGAGUAUGUCCGGACGUGGGUGAAUGGAAAGAUGAAUUAACCGGCUUAUCUAACAAAUUUUCAACACAAAAAACAUGUUCCUUGACCGUGGGUUGCUUCCGGAACCCCUUGGCAACAAGACCAUCAAAUCGAGCCCCAUAAAAACCACGCCACAUGGUUUGGACAAGGAUUGAGAGGAGCCUCCAUCUUCAUUGGCAUUAUUUCACUUUUCCUUAUCAUUAGUUAUGUCUUUCAUUGUUCGUAGUCAAUCACCCUUAAAACAAUUGUCAUAUUUGUUGAAAAAUAACACAUUAUGGUGGCCUUAGUAUUAUUUUUUAAUACUUACUACAUGUUGGGUACAUUUGUAUUAUGUCCCAUAAUGUUUUUCAUAAUGACAUAUCUAGUCCCCGAACUUAAAUGUUCGUAGGAUGAUGGAUAUGACAAUUGUCCAUAACGUGAAGAUCUAUAUUUGUGUGGUUUCAAAACAAUUUUCCAUAAGGUGUGACUAUGUACACCAUGAUCAUGUGUGUGAAAGGCAUCAACUCUUUCCAUCAUAAAUCAGAAGACACCAUUCCGGGUAGAAAAGAAUCACUACAUGGCAUCAUCCUCAUCAAAGGUUAUACUUCCAAAUAAGUACCUUUCACUCUUAAUGAAACUAUUCGUGAAUCGGAUCCUGAUUAUGUCAACAUAUGGUAUCAAAGUGUGUUUUAAUUAUCUUAAGCUCAACAUCAUAUAGUGCCUACUUAAGUUUCACUGCUUUAUGAAAAUGAUGUUGAUAAAAUGUAAAUUUUUUCACAGAUUUGUAAUCUAUUCAUGUACCUAAAACUGUUUAUUUUCUUCCCUAAUUUCAAACUUUGGUUUUGUUUUAUUAUGAUGCAUCGCGAAAUCAUAGAUCUUGAAACCAUGGGUUUUGGUUUAUAACGACAAAGUAAUUUCCGAUUAAAUUGGCAACAUCAUUUACCUUAAAGAAUUGUGUUUUGUUCAUUUGUUGUUCACUUAUUCACUGUACAUAUGAGAAAAUUGAUAAACUUAUCUCCUUGAAAUUCCUUUUCUGUAAAAAGAUUCUUAGAUAAAUGAAAAGGGCUUAUCCGCUUUGAACGAUAAUGAAUUGUACUCUACAAAGCUCCUGUCUUCCGUUUUCCUUUUCUUUUCUUCUUUCAUUUUUUUUCUCAUGAAUCUGUGUAAUUUUUAAAUGAAGGGAAAAUUUAUUUGGUGAUAAAGAAAUACACUAAUGCCUAAUGAAUAAUAAGCCAACAUUGCUAACUCAUUUGUUUAAUAAUGUUGUUUUUUUUUAUCUCGUGUCAACUUGAAACUAAUUAAUGUGCUACUUUAUUGUGUAAAUUAGUAAAAGGAUGCCCUACUUCUAUUUAAUUCUUAACAUAUGCCUUUAAUUGUUAACAUAUGUCGAAAUAAUUAUUGGUUGUAAAUAAAUAAUGGACAUCCAUUUAUAAUUAUGUUUUCUUGUAUCCGUUGAAAUUUCAUAUUUUAUGUCAUUCUCCUUGUUUAUGGAAUUUGUUGCAUAAGUAUUUUUUUAUAAGACAAAACUGCAUAAAUGGUCCAUGUGGUUAGCUAAAAAUUGUCAUUUUGGUAUAAAAAGGUUUGGAAUUGCACUAGAGGUUCAAACUUUUCAUUUUAUUGCGAGUUUGGUCUAAUUUUCUUUGAUCCUUUUUACAAUGACGAUUUUGCCAUUAUUUUUUACUUAUUUAUUAAUUUAUUAAUUUUUUUUGACUAAAAUAAACAGAAAACAAAGUAGAAAACCAAUUAACCCCACCCUACCCCCCCCUCUUUCUCUNUUCACAAAACCCAUCUCCUUCGCCGCCGCCACCACCACCGGCGAAGAGGAUUCCACUUUCAAACCCCCAAAACCAUGCAUGUUGCAACCCUCAAAAUCCAAGAAUAAUACACCAUCUUCACGCCGCCGCCAGAGAAUCAAAACACUACCUCCAUCUUCCUCAACAAACCCUUUGUCGGAGUUCAAGCGAACAACACUAUCAACAAAUCCUACAUUCGUUUGGGUGUUAUAGAUCUGUAAAGAGGGAGGUCAUGUUGCAAAGAUGGUUUCAAGAUAAAUAGAACAUAAGGGCGUCGAGACUAAGGAAGAUGGCGACGUCGUUGUUUGACGAAAGUAAGCUUACCAGAUCUGAAGUCAGACAAAGAUUUGAAAUCAUGUGAACGACAAAUGUAUCUUAACUUAUGUGAACGACGAAACAUCGGAGAUGUAGAGAAACAAAGGCAGUAGCGAGAUAGGGUUUGCCGUGGAAGAUGGUUGUGUUGUUGGUCCGACAUGAGGUGUUGGUCCGAGGAAGAUGUUGUCGUCUUUGGUGGUUUUCAAAUGUACAUGGUUGUUGUCGGAAAAUCGAUGUUGGUGGUGGUUUUGAAUGUGUGCCGAUUGGAAAUAUAGGGGAUGAGCAUAAGAGACCUAUGAGAAUUUAGAUGUAUUAGGUUUUUAAAGAGAAUAUGAAGAUAUGGGGAAAAAAAGGUGUGACGAAAAGAGAUCGAGAAGGGGAAGGGUGUUUGUGUAAUUGUUUGCAUUUUGUUCCUUUACAUACAAGUGAAAUCAAUUUAAGAGUGAAGGAAUCACAUGAAAUAGAUGUGAUUUCUCCAUGUUCUUGCUUGCUUGAAUAAGUAGGACUCUGAGCAUGGACAUUAAUGUGUCAUGGGGGGGUAUGGAUGGCUAUUUGUGUCGGAAAUCAUUCAUUUCAUGAAUAUUAACUCAUAUGGAGGAAUUAAUCCUGAAUAUGAGGUACGAUCAUUGUUGUUAUCAGUGAAAGGGAGGGUGUUUGUGGAAUUGUUUAGGGCGUUGGUGGUGAUUCCCAUGAAAGAGAGGCCUAAGAUGGGUUUUUUUUUUAAUACAGAUUUAAAUCAAUUAAAAAGAUUGAAAUAAAAUUGUAAGGGUGAAAUCAUCAUUAUAAAAAAAUUCAAAACAAGUUGGACCAAACAUACAACAAAAUAAAAAGUUUCGACUUCUGAUGCUGGUCCAAAUGUUUUUUAGACCAAAGUGCCAAUUUUCAGCUAACCAUACGGAUCAUUCUUGCAAUUUUCUCUUGUUAUUAUUAUGAUGCAACUUGUAAUAUACAUGUCAUCCAUUAACAAAAUUAUUGACCUAACACAUAAAAAAAUGUAUGUAUAAUAUAUAUAUAUAUAUAUNNNNNNNNNNNNNNNUGAAGUAUUUUUUUUCAACAUGAAAAAAAUAAUUUGGCUUGUUAAAAAAAUCUGCCAUCGUCAUACGAGACGCAUAAGAUUGUUUUUUUUUGGUGUGUUCCUAAUGGACGUUAAUUACUAUUUUUUUGCUAUUAUUUAUGGACAAUAUGGUGUUAUCAUAAACUAAUAUCUUAUUAUUUUAAGUCUCGCUUACCAUAUAUAAGGGUUUAAAAUUGUAUGGUUUUUAAUCAUACUUUUCAGGAACUAGAUAAUUUAAUUGGCAUAUGAUAUUAUAAUUAUGAUUUUAUAAGUGUUUAUCAAACUAGCUCAAUAUCUAUAAAAAUGGAUAAACCUUUAAUUUUAAAAUUAUAAAUGAUGAGUGGUAACUUUGAUGUAAUGUUUAAGUGGCUGGACGAAAGAAAGGUUGCUUAAGCUUUACAUUGUAGUUGAUUCAACACCAUAUUAAGCAAUUGUUUGAUUUGUUAUUCAAGGAACCCAAGAGCUAAUUGGAUAACGAUUCAUUAAAUGAAUUUUAAGCAUAACAUACAAAAAUAUUGUAUUUAUGCCCAUAGGUUAUUGCAAUAUUUAUGUAGCGAAGUAUAAUUUUUGGACCCCAUAAUAUUUAAUUGUUGGUAUAGCCAAAGCGAAAGUAACGGUUGAAUAAGGAGUCUUUAGACCUAUUAUUUUGGUGUUAAUAAUAGGUUAUACUGAAAUGCUUUAAUCAUUUUUAAUCCCGUUAGAUCACAUUAUUCUCUUCAUUGCAUAUAUUUAAUUAAGAUACUUGAAUAGCUUUAAAAAGGAAUGGAAAAGCUCAUGUAAUUGAGAAAUAAAAUUGUGUGAAGGUCCUAAAUUCAAAUGAACAUACCAGCAAGCCCAACAAUAAAUUAUUGUGAAUUAUGUCAUAAGAAACGACAUAUUCAACAUAAACCGUCUUAUAUUCAUGAAAUUGCUUGCGAAGAAAUGUAACAUGCAUAUUUUAUGAUUUAGAAGUCCUUUAAUUUUAGUGCCCCUAUAAAUACAUGAUGGAUUGAUUAUGACUCAAUGGUACAUGUGUCUUUUCAUUACACAUAUUUCAUACAAUCGCAAACCUGGAUUCCUCACAACCCUCAACCUUAGCUUCUACCCUCCUAGCAUCCCUAACACUACAAGGUCAUAUGGAACUAUCUUGGCAACCAACAACUGGACCAAAACAAAUAAAGUUACUGCUCGGAUAACAAACCCGACACAUAUCUCUGAAGAUUGAGCGACCGCACGCGAACUUCAUAAACCUAAAUAUUAGGUUUACUUCAAAUAGCUUGUUUUGGCUAAACAAUUAGGCGAAUGAAAAAAUACUAGAGCUUGUUAAUGUUUUCAAGUACCAACUUAGAUGAAAUUAACUCGAUAUCAUCUCAUGAUUGAAUUACAUAAUUAAACUUGUCAAACAUGAUAUUAGAACUUUAUCUUUUAAGAAUUUAUUUUCAAUAUAUUUGCAUUUCAUGUCUUUUACAUUUCAUUUUAUAUAUAAAAAACAAAAAAAUCUCAUUUGACUACAUUGUAUCUUGUGCAAAUAGGCAUUAUCAUUGAUGUUUCUAUAACGAUCGACCGUAAUUGUCUUGUAUUACGUCUAAGUGCACUGUAGCAUUGAUUUUGUACUUAUUUAAGCGACCUCGUUAUUUGUUGGACCGACACCAUGACAUGCGGUUUACCGUUUCAAAGUGUAUUCCUUUUUCAUUUACACCUUACACUUGAAAAAUAUAUAUCGACCAUUUCCUUCAAUAUGUUUAGCGUCAUCGAUUUCUAACAAAAUGACUUAUUUUCGUGCCCUUAUAUCGAAAUUUACUUUAGAUUUGGAAAAAAAAUUAUGUAAUGUUGGUGUCGUAUGAUAACAAUGACUUCGAAUUUUGAGAGUCUGGAAUGCAACUUUUUAACAUUUAUACUAAAAAAAUAACAUCCCGUUCCUGUAUGUUUGUUAUAUUUAAUGGGGUUAACACAAAUAAUUCGUCUUAGACGGAUGUCCUUAUAAUGUAGCCUUUCAAAAAUCCAUUUCGAAUAGGCCAUUUGUAAUCUCGUAAUGUUCAUAGGCUGUUAAGUAGGGUUUAUUUUGAUAUGUUGAUACAUGCCCAUAAUUAUCGAAGAAGAAUUUAAAAAAAGGCAUCGUUUAGAACGAAAUUUCUACACAAGUCAUCAUGUCAACGGUAUGUUUUUAUUCCCUUGUACCUUAGACCUAGUGCGCCUACCAAGGACCAUAAGGUAGACAUUAGGGUUUGGUGUUAAACAUGCUCAUUGCUUAUACAUUUUUGGCGGAUCGGUCCAUAAAUGUUCCAUCGGGUAUGUUGUAGACUAUGAGAUUUUAGGCUUUGUGUUUACUGAGUGUUGCAGUGUGUUCUACAUAAAUUGAAUACUCAGUUAGUUGUAUCAUAUUUUGUAUUAUUAUGUUGUGUGAAGUAUGAUCAUUUUCAAUUACGGAAACACCAAGUUCUAUUACAUAAAAAAGUAAAUCGCAUGACGGGUGUGUGACACUAUGAAAUCCAAAUAAUGAUUCAAUUAAUACAAAGAUAAAUGCUACGAUUUUCGUGGGUGAGGGUCUAUCGGUGGUGGUUUAAUGACCCUCAUCGUUUCCCAUUCAGAGGAGCUGAAGAGGAUGCACUAGCUCUGCACAUGUAAAUAUGUAACGCUGACAUGAAAUGGAAUAAUUGAAACGGUGAUGGUGUGUACCUAUAUGUGUCGGAGUUAUAUCAAUCGUAUAAAAAUAUCCUGUGAUGUAGUGGCCCCAUUUAUGAGAAUUAUAGGAUACCCCACAUUGUAUCUCUACGUGUCAAAGUUUUAUCAAUUUGCAAAAUUUAACAAGGUUUUAUUGGCAUUGCGAGAUGAAGCUUCUAUUUGGCGUUGGUGUUAUGUUUUGGUGGGACAACAUAGACAACAUAUCUUGAAGCUUUCAGAAGUAAGAGGGACGUUGCCGUCAUAUCUUCACAUUAAUUGUCUUUCCGACCCACUGGGAUCCAAAGCUUGUGGGGUACCAGGAUAAUCAUACAAGUUGAUGAUAAGCUGGACCGAAGAAAAAAAACCAUGUGAUGGUUUCGAAGAAUGAAAAUCCCUCAAUGUCGUUAACGUCGUACAUAGUUUUGCAUUUCAUGUCUUUUACAUUUCAUUUUAUAUAUAAAAAAGAAAAAUCCCAUUUGACUACAUUGUAUCUUGUGCGAAAAGGCAUUAUCAUUGAUGUUUCUAUAAGGAUCGACCCUAAUUGUCUUGUAUUAUGUCUAAGUGGAUUGUAGCAUUGAUUUUGUACUUAUUUAAGUGACCUUGUUAUUUAUUGGACUGACACCGUGACAUGCGGUUUACUGUUUCAAACUUUUUUUUUUUUUUUUCAUUUACACCUUACAUUUGAAAAAUAUAUAUAUAUUGACCAUUCCUUCAAUAUGUUUAGCGUCACCGAUUUCCAACAAAAUGACUUAUUUUCGUGCCCUUAUAUCGAAAUUUACUUUAGAUUUGGAAAAAAAUUAAAUUAUGUAAUGUUGGUAUCGGAUGUUAAAAAUGACUUCGAAUUUUGAGAGACUGAAAUACAACUUUUUAACAUUUAUGCUGAAAAAAUAGCAUCUUGUUCCUGUAUCCUUGUUAUAUUUAAUGGGGCUAACACAAAUAAGUCAUUAUAGACGGAUGUCCUUAUAAUGUAGCCUUUCAAAAAUCCAUUUCGAAUAAGCCAUUUGUAAUCCGGUAAUGGUCAUAGGCUGUUAAGUAGGGUUUGUUUUGAUAUGUCGAUACAUCCCAUAAUUAUCGAAGAAGAAUCUAAAAAAAGGCAUCGUUUAGAAAGAAAUUUCUACACAAUUCAUCAUGUCAAUGGUGCGGUUUUUUAUUCCUUUGUACCGUAAACCUAUUGCGCCUACCAAGGACCAUAAGGUAGACAUUAGGGUUUGGUGUUAAACAUGCUCAUUGCUUAUACAUUUUCGGCCGAUCGGUCCAUAAAUGUUCCAUCGGGUAUGUUGUAGUCCAUGAGAUUUUAGGCUUCAUGUUUACCGAGUAUUGUGUUUUGAUCUACAUAAAUUGAAUACUCAGUUAGUUGUAUCAUAUUAUGUAUUAUUAUGAUGUGUGAAGUAUGAUCAUUUUGAAUUACGGAAACACCAAGUUCUGUUACAUAAAAAGUAAAUCGCAUGACGGGCGUGUGACACUAUGAAAUCCAAAUAAUGAUUCAAUUAAAACAAAGAUAAAUGCUAUGAUUUUCGUGGGUGAGGGUCUAUCGUUGGUGGUUUAAUGACCUUCAUCGUUUCCCAUUCAGAGGAAUUGAAGCGGUGAUGGUGUGUACCUCUAUGUGUCGGAGUUAUAUCAAUCGUAUAAAAAUAUCUUGUGAUGUAGUGGCCCCAUUUAUGAGAAUUAUCGGAUACCCCACAUUGUAUCUGUACGUGUCAAAGUUUUAUCGAUUUACAAAAUUUAACAAGGUGGUAUUGGCAUUGCGAGAUGAAGCUUCUAUUUGGCGUUGGUGGGACAACAUAGACAACAUCCCCUGAAGCUUUCAGAAGUAAGAGGGACGUUGCCGUCAUAUCUUCAC